CAGUAGCCGCGGGAAUACGUAGGUGGCAAGCGUUGUCCGGAAUUAUUGGGCGUAAAGCGCGCGCAGGUGGUUUAAUAAGUCUGAUGUGAAAGCCCACGGCUCAACCGUGGAGGGUCAUUGGAAACUGUUAAACUUGAGUGCAGGAGAGAAAAGUGGAAUUCCUAGUGUAGCGGUGAAAUGCGUAGAGAUUAGGAGGAACACCAGUGGCGAAGGCGGCUUUUUGGCCUGUAACUGACACUGAGGCGCGAAAGCGUGGGGAGCAAACAGGAUUAGAUACCCGAGUAGUCCCUGUCUCUUAUAA
rnacentral:rRNA from 1 species